rnacentral:rRNA from 1 species
GACGGAGGAGGCAAGCGUUAUCCGGAAUGAUUGGGCGUAAAGCGUCCGUAGGUGGUUAUACAAGUCUGCUGUUAAAGCGCGAGGCUUAACCUCGUAAAGGCAGUGGAAACUGUGUGACUAGAGGAUGGUAGGGGUAGAGGGAAUUCCCAGUGUAGCGGUGAAAUGCGUAGAUAUUGGGAAGAACACCAGUGGCGAAAGCGCUCUACUGGGCCAUACCUGACACUGAGGGACGAAAGCUAGGGGAGCGAAAGGG